GACAGAGGGUGCAAACGUUGCUCGGAAUUACUGGGCGUAAAGCGCGUGUAGGCGGUUUCGCAAGUCAGGUGUGAAAGCCCGGGGCUCAACCCCGGAAGUGCACUUGAUACUACGGAGCUGGAGUACUGAAGAGGAGAGCGGAAUUCCCGGUGUAGAGGUGAAAUGCGCAGAUAUCGGGAAGAACACCCGUGGCGAAGGCGGUUCUCUGGGACGGUACUGACGCUGAGACGCGAAAGCGUGGGGAGCGAACAGG
rnacentral:rRNA from 1 species